AUGCUAUUGGCUAGUGAGCAUCAGAAGGAGAAAACCCCUCAGCCUGAUCAAGGAGAGGUUGUUAUCUUUGUAGAUCAUCUCCAGAGGGGCUUCUCGCCACCCAGCUCAAAAUUCUUUAGGGAUUUCCUAAACUUAUUUGACCUCCGUCCUCAAGAUAUUGGUCCGAACUCGAUGACCAACUUAUGUCAGAUUCAAGUACUUUGCGAAGUCUAUCUACAGACGGAGCCAACUGUCACUCUCUUUCGGGAGUUUUUCUACACCAAUCAUCAAAGCGACUGUGCAGAUGGCCCUAGCGUCGAACUU
rnacentral:rRNA from 1 species